rnacentral:rRNA from 1 species
UACAGAGGUGGCAAGCGUUGUUCGGAAUUACUGGGCGUAAAGCGUGCGCAGGCGGUUGUGUAAGACAGAUGUGAAAUCCCCGGGCUCAACCUGGGAACUGCAUUUGUGACUGCACGGCUCGAGUGCGGCAGAGGGGGAUGGAAUUCCGCGUGUAGCAGUAAAAUGCGUAGAUAUGCGGAGGAACACCGAUGGCGAAGGCAAUCCCCUGGGCCUGCACUGACGCUCAUGCACGAAAGCGUGGGGAGCAAACAGG